AGUUUGAUCCUGGCUCAGAUUGAACGCUGGCGGAAUGCUUUACACAUGCAAGUCGAACGGUAGAGGGGGCAACCCUUGAGAGUGGCGAACGGGUGAGUAAUAUAUCGGAACGUCGCCCAGUCGGUGGGGGAUAACGUAGCGAAAGUUACGCUAAUACCGCAUACGAUCUAAGGAUGAAAGCGGGGGAUCGCAAGACCUCGCGCGAUUGGAGCGGCCGAUAUCAGAUUAGGUAGUUGGUGGGGUAAAGGCUCACCAAGCCAACGAUCUGUAGCUGGUCUGAGAGGACGACCAGCCACACUGGAACUGAGACACGGUCCAGACUCCUACGGGAGGCAGCAGUGGGGAAUUUUGGACAAUGGACGCAAGUCUGAUCCAGCCAUUCCGCGUGCAGGAUGAAGGCCCUCGGGUUGUAAACUGCUUUGUACGGAACGAAAAGGUUUCUCUUAAUACGAGGAGCUCAUGACGGUACCGUAAGAAUAAGCACCGGCUAACUACGUG
rnacentral:rRNA from 1 species